UACGUAGGGGGCGAGCGUUGUCCGGAAUUAUUGGGCGUAAAGGGCUCGUAGGCGGUUUGUCGCGUCGGGUGUGAAAUCAUCUGGCUUAACUGGGUGCUUGCGUUCGAUACGGGCAGACUAGAGGUAUGCAGGGGAGAACGGAAUUCCUGGUGUAGCGGUGAAAUGCGCAGAUAUCAGGAGGAACACCGGUGGCGAAGGCGGUUCUCUGGGCAUGAUCUGACGCUGAGGAGCGAAAGUGUGGGGAGCGAACAGG
rnacentral:rRNA from 1 species